rnacentral:rRNA from 1 species
UACGAAGGGGGCUAGCGUUGCUCGGAAUUACUGGGCGUAAAGCGCACGUAGGCGGCUUUCUAAGUCGGGGGUGAAAUCCUGGAGCUCAACUCCAGAACUGCCUUCGAUACUGGAAAGCUCGAGUCCGGGAGAGGUGAGUGGAACUGCGAGUGUAGAGGUGAAAUUCGUAGAUAUUCGCAAGAACCCCAGUGGCGAAGGCGGCUCACUGGCCCGGUACUGACGCUGAGGUGCGAAAGCGUGGGGAGCAAACAGG